rnacentral:rRNA from 1 species
GGGUUGUGAGGUUAAGCGACUAAGCGUACACGGUGGAUGCCCUGGCAGUCAGAGGCGAUGAAGGACGUGCUAAUCUGCGAUAAGCGUCGGUAAGGUGAUAUGAACCGUUAUAACCGGCGAUUUCCGAAUGGGGAAACCCAGUGUGAUUCGUCACACUAUCAUUAACUGAAUCCAUAGGUUAAUGAGGCGAACCGGGGGAACUGAAACAUCUAAGUACCCCGAGGAAAAGAAAUCAACCGAGAUUCCCCCAGUAGCGGCGAGCGAACGGGGAGCAGCCCAGAGCCUGAAUCAGUGUGUGUGUUAGUGGAAGCGUCUGGAAAGGCGUGCGAUACAGGGUGACAGCCCCGUACACAAAAAUGCACAUACUGUGAGCUCGAUGAGUAGGGCGGGACACGUGGUAUCCUGUCUGAAUAUGGGGGGACC